rnacentral:rRNA from 1 species
UACGGGGGGGCAAGCGUUGUUCGGAAUUACUGGGCGUAAAGGGCUCGUAGGCGGCCAACUAAGUCAGACGUGAAAUCCCUCGGCUUAACCGGGGAACUGCAUCUGAUACUGGAUGGCUUGAGUUCGGGAGAGGGAUGCGGAAUUCCAGGUGUAGCGGUGAAAUGCGUAGAUAUCUGGGGGAACACCGGUGGCGAAGGCGGCAUCCUGGACCGACACUGACGCUGAGGAGCGAAAGCCAGGGGAGCAAACGGG